rnacentral:rRNA from 1 species
UACGAAGGGGGCUAGCGUUGUUCGGAAUUACUGGGCGUAAAGCGCACUAGGCGGAUUGUUAAGUUAGGGGUGAAAUCCCGGGGCUCAACCCCGGAACUGCCUUUAAUACUGGCAAUCUCGAGUCCGAGAGAGGUGAGUGGAAUUCCGAGUGUAGAGGUGAAAUUCGUAGAUAUUCGGAGGAACACCAGUGGCGAAGGCGGCUCACUGGCUCGGUACUGACGCUGAGGUGCGAAAGCGUGGGGAGCAAACAGG